UACGUAGGGUGCAGGCGUUAAUCGGAAUUACUGGGCGUAAAGCGUGCGCAGGCGGCUCCUUAAGUCAGAUGUGAAAGCCCCGGGCUUAACCUGGGAACUGCGUUUGAAACUGGGGAGCUAGAGUGUAGAGGAGGGGGGUGGAAUUCCAGGUGUAGCAGUGAAAUGCGUAGAGAUCUGGAGGAACACCGAUGGCGAAGGCAGCCCCCUGGGCUAACACUGACGCUCAUGCACGAAAGCGUGGGGAGCAAACAGG
rnacentral:rRNA from 1 species